CCUACGGGAGGCAGCAGUGGGGAAUAUUGGACAAUGGGCGCAACCCUGAUCCAGCGACGCCGCGUGAGUGAAGAAGUAUUUCGGGAUGUAAAGCUCUAUUAGCAGAGAAGAAAAUGGAGGUACGUAACUAAGAAUCCCCGGCUAAUUACGUGCCAGCAGCCGCCGUCAUACGGCGGGGGCGAGCGUUAUCCGGAUUUACUGGGGGGAAAGGGAGCGUAGAUGGUGUAGCAAGUCAGAUGGGAAGGGGCGGGGCUCAACCGCGUGAGUGCAUUGGAAACUGUGAGACUGGAGUACAGGAGAGGUAAGCGGAAUUCCUAGUGUAGCGGUGAAAUGCGUAGAUAUUAGGAGGAACACCAGUGGCGAAGGCGGCUUACUGGACUGUAACUGACGUUGAGGCUCGAAAGCGUGGGGAGCAAACAGGAUUAGAUACCCCAGUAGUC
rnacentral:rRNA from 1 species